GAUCCUGGCUCAGGACGAACGCUGGCGGCGCGCCUAACACAUGCAAGUCGAACGGAGUUAUUAAGACAGAAGCCUUCGGGUGGAAGAUUUAGUAACUUAGUGGCGGACGGGUGAGUAACACGUGAGGAACCUGCCUUACAGAGGGGGGAUAACGUCUGGAAACGGACGCUAAUACCGCAUAACACCAUCGGGGGGGCAUCCCCUGGCGGUCAAAGAUUUAUCGCUGUAAGAUGGCCUCGCGGUCGAUUAGAUAGUUGGCGGGG
rnacentral:rRNA from 1 species